UACGGAAGGUCCAGGCGUUAUCCGGAUUUAUUGGGUUUAAAGGGAGCGUAGGCCGCUGAUUAAGCGUGUUGUGAAAUUUGGAUGCUCAACAUCUGAACUGCAGCGCGAACUGGUUAGCUUGAGUGUGCGCAACGCAGGCGGAAUUUGUGGUGUAGCGGUGAAAUGCUUAGAUAUCACGAAGAACUCCGAUUGCGAAGGCAGCUUGCGGGAGCACAACUGACGCUGAAGCUCGAAAGCGCGGGUAUCGAACAGG
rnacentral:rRNA from 1 species